rnacentral:rRNA from 1 species
GACGAACGCUGGCGGCGUGCUUAACACAUGCAAGUCGAACGGUGAAGGGACUGGUUUUGCUGGUCCUGGAUGAGUGGCGAACGGGUGAGUAACACGUGAGUAACCUGCCCCCUUCUUCUGGAUAACCGCAUGAAAGUGUGGCUAAUACGGGAUAUUCUGGGUCUGUCGCAUGGUGGGCCUGGGAAAGAUUGCGCCUUUUUUGGUGUUUUUGGUGGGGGAUGGGCUCGCGGCCUAUCAGCUUGUUGGUGGGGUGAUGGCCUACCAAGGCGGUGACGGGUAGCCGGCCUGAGAGGGUGGACGGUCACACUGGGACUGAGACACGGCCCAGACUCCUACGGGAGGCAGCAGUGGGGAAUAGUGCACAAUGGGCGCAAGCCUGAUGCAGCGACGCCGCGUGAGGGAUGGAAGCCUUCGGGUUGUGAACCUCUUUCGCCAGUGAAGCAGGCCUGCCUCUUUUUGUGGGUGGGUUGACGGUAGCUGGAUAAGAAGCGCCGGCUAACUACGUG